rnacentral:piRNA from 1 species
UGCUUUCACAAUGCUUUAGGCUGUGCUAG